CGUAGUCUGAAUUGUAAGUCUGUUUUCAAAUCCUACGACUCAAUCGUAGAAAGGGAAUGGAUACUGCAGAUCUAGAAGUAUCUAGGGGUUAGUGGAAUUUCCGGUGGAGCGGUGAAAUGCGUUGAUAUCGGAAGGAACGCCGAAAGCGAAAGCAGCUAACUAUAGAAUACUUGACGAUGAGGGACGACAGUUUGGGGAGCAAACAGGAUUAGAUACCCUGGUAGUCCAAACCGUAAAUUAUGCUUGCUAGAUGUUUUUAUCAGUUUACUGGUAGGAGUGUCGUAAUCUAACGAGUUAAGCAAGCCGCCUGGGUAGUAUAUUCGCAAGAAUGAAACUCAAAGGGAUAGGCGGGGGAACACACAAGCAGUGGAUUAUCUAGAUUAAUUGGAUAAUAAGCCAAGAAUCUUACCUAGGAUUGACAUGUAUUGUGUCUCAGGUGAAAGCCUGAUAUCCGUAGCAAUACGGAGCUUUACACAGGUGGUGCAUGGUCGUCGUCAGCUCGUGCCGCAAGGUGUCUAGUUAAGUCUGGAAACGAGCGCAACCCUCGUGUUUAGUUAGUAUGUCUAAACAGACUGCUCGGGUAACCGAGAGGAAGGAGAGGAUGACGUCAGAUCCUCAUGCCCCUUACACCUAGGGCCUCAUAGAUAAUACAAUGGGUAGGUACAGCGAGAAGCGAAACCGCGAGGUGGAGCAAAUCUUUAAAACUGCCCUUAGUUCGGAUUGUACUCUGCAACUCGAGUACAUGAAGUUGGAAUUGCUAGUAAUGGCAGAUCAGCCAUGCUGCCGUGAAUACGUCCCUGUUCCUUGCACUCACCGCCCGUCAAACCAUGGGAGCUGAGGCUCUUUGAAGACUCAUUAUAUGGGUUAAGGAGGGAAUCAGUGACUGGGGUUAAGUCGUAACAAGGCAUCCCUACCGGAAGGUGGGGAUA
rnacentral:rRNA from 1 species